rnacentral:rRNA from 1 species
GACGAACGCUGGCGGCGUGCCUAACACAUGCAAGUCAACUUGACUGAAGGAGCAAUCUGACAGUAGAGUGGCGCAAGGGUGCGUAACGCGUAAGUAACUUGCCCCAAGGUAAGGAAUAACGUCGAGAAAUCGGCGCUAAUACCUCAUAAUGCAGCGGAUCCGCAUGGAUAUGUUGUUAAAGGUUUACCGCCUUGGGAUAGGCUUGCGUCUGAUUAGCUAGUUGGUGUGGUAACGGCACACCAAGGCUACGAUCAGUAACUGGUCUGAGAGGAUGAUCAGUCACACUGGAACUGAGACACGGUCCAGACUCCUACGGGAGCAGCAGUGAGGAAUAUUGGGCAAUGCUCGAAAGAGUGACCCAGCAACGCCGCGUGGAGGAUGAAGGUAUUCUAUAUACGUAAACUCCUGUGAGAGCAGACGAAAGACAGAUUAUUAAUCUGGAUGACUGUAUGCUCAGAGGAAGCCCCGG